GUAAGAUUGACCUGUCCCGUGAAUUAACAAAAUACUCACAUGGGCCAUCCGGCGAAACCGAUCACCCUCUUCAUUAAAAAACAGGAAGUUUAGAAUAUUGUGAUUACUUCCAAAUUAAAAAAUAAAAUUUGACGAUGCAAUGAAUUAUUAGGAAAAGCUGUAAGUGGGAAAGUUAGGGCCAACAACCUUUAACAAGACAGACCAAGACAAAAAACCUCACAUGAAUCCCCACUCAGACAUGCUCUGAGUGGACCGCACAAUCAGCUGUUCCUACUUCCAUAAAUGGUACCUCCUUUGACAAAAAUAAAUUAAUAGGAGGAUAAUAAUAGCGGGAAUAAUAAUAAAAAGCAAUUUUUAACAGACAAGAGUUCUCUGAUCUUUCUAACAGAGUCAGGCUAGCUCAAGAACAGUUUGCAGGAAUUACAGAGGAAGAUUAUGCUUGGCUGCUUUGUUUCUGAAGUCCUUGCUACCGAUAAACAUUUGAAUAAGCUAUAUACCGACUUAAAAUUAGCAGAGGAAUUGUUUUACAAGCAGAAGGCAAAAGUUAGGUGGCUGUCUUUGGGAGGUCAUGAUACAAGUUUUUUCCACAGAACCGUGAAGAUAAAGAAAAAAAAAAAAAAGCCAGGAACUCCACCAAGGUUCUAGUUAAUGGAAAUGGCGAAAGGCUUGAGGAGUCUGAGGACAUAAUUGUUGGGGCUGUGGAAAUUUAUCAGAAUCUUUUGGGAAAAGUUAAUCCUGAAGUUAUAGGAGGAAAUAUCAGUGAAUUAAGAGAUUUGCUGAACUAUAACAUUCCUGAGGAUACCUGCUCUGUGCUAGUUGCUCCAGUUACACCUGAGGAAUUGAAAGCUGCACUAUGGACGAUGCAUGGGGAUAGGGCCCCUGGCCCCAAUGGUUCUGGCUCUCACUUUUAUAAGUCUUCUAGUGAUUUAGUCGGAAAGGACUUUACUCAAGCUGUGCUCAGUUUCUUUCACUCUGCUAAGCUGCUAGGGGAGACCAAUAACACUAGCAUCACGCUGGUUCCAAAAACUCUAAAUCCUUCGAGGAUGACUGAAUUUCGACCUAUCUCUUGCUGCAAUGUGGUGUACAAAUGCAUCACCAAGGUACUCUCUAACAGGUUAAAGUCUCUUCUUCCUGACUUCAUUUCUCCAAGCCAAUGUGAUUUCGUGGAAGGGCGCAGUAUUGGUGACAACAUAUUAUUGGCACGUGAAUUGGUCAAAGGGUAUGGAAGAAGAAGAAUUUCAUCUAGGUGCACUAUAAAGGUUGAUGUAAUAAAGUCUUUUGAUUCCGUUGAUUGGAGAUUUUUUAUGAAUAUAUUUCAAGCUAUUGGCAUGCCUUAAGAGUUUUUCUGACUGGGUUUUUGCCUGCAUUUGUGUCCAAGAUUCUCGGUAGUCAUUAAUGGUGAAUUGCAUGGCCAUUUUGAGGGAAGAAACAAUCUUAGAUAGGGGGUUCCCCUCUCAACAUAUUUGCUUGUCAUGGCCAUAGAGGUGCUCUCAGAGCUUCUCAGUUCAGCUGCUCUUGAAGGAAGGCUUGCUUAUCAUCCCAAAUGUUCUAAAGUCCAACUUACGCACUUGGAUUUGCCGAUGAUCUUAUGAUAUUCUUGAGAGAAGACAGAUUUUGCAGUUGAGUGGUUUUUGGGAGGGUGCCUUGCCUGUAAGGUACUUGGGGGUCCCCCUUGUCCCUGGAAGACUAUCUGAUAAAGAAUGCAAACUACUCAUUGACAAGAAUACCAGCAGAAUAGAGGGAUGAGCUGUUAAAAAACUUUCUUAUGCUGAGAGGCUGCAACAAGUAACUUCGGUUAUCCAGUCCCUUCUUAAAUUCUGGUGCACUGUAUUCACUCUACCCAAAAAGGUUUUGAAGAAAGUGGAGAAAAGAUGUAAGGCUUUCUUAUGGAGAGGAAGAAGUACUGGAGCACAAGGGGCCAAAGUGGGUUGGAAACUUGUUUGUCUUCCUUAAAAAAAGGAGGCUUGGGAAUUAAGGAAGUUGUGGUCUGGAACAAGGCUUGCAGCCUCAGGUAUAUAUGGUUUUUAUUCAACAAGCUGGGUCUUUAUGGAUCGCUUGGGUCAAGGCUUAGCUCAUCAAAGGUAGGAGCUUUUGGUCUCUCGAAGCCCCUACCGAUUGUUCAUACGUUUGGAGGAAGUUGUUACAAUUGAGGGACUGUGUAUAUCCUGUUAUCAGGCAAGAAUGAAGGAUGGAAAGUCUGUUUUCUUCUGGUUCGACAACUGGUGCAGCCUCAGCCCCCUUGUCAACCAUUUUGGGGGAUGCAGGAGCAGACAUCAAAUACAAUUCACUGUCGCUGAGUUUGUCUCUGAGUUUGGCAGGGUUAGGCAUCAAAGUGGACUGUGCUUACCUCCUGAGAUAAUUAAUCUUACUUUGACAGAAGGAGUUGAGGAUAGAAUUAUCUGGGUUGCAGAUCAGAAGGAAGGUUUUUCUAUUGCAAGUGCUUGGGAGGCAUUGAGAGACAAAGGCGACAGGGUGAGAUGGCACAAGUUAGUCUGGUUUCUCCCAUGUGUGCCGAGGCAUUCCUUUAUAGUUUGGCUUCCUAUUCAUAACAAGCUCGCAACUAAGGACAAAAUGGCUCAAUGAUUCCAUUGCAUCGAUGAAUCUUGUGUUUUUUGUGAGGUCGAGAAGGAGACAAGGGGUCAUAUAUUUUUUACCUAUCCUUUCACUAAGAGAGUGUGGGAGAGGGUGUUGAAUGCAGCUGGACAAUACAGAGAAGUUGGGGCCUGGAGAUCUGAAGUUGAAUGGGAAUAUUGUUAAAUUCCAGAGGAAGAGUACUCUUGUAUUGUAGUUAUCCUUAGAAUUGCCUUGCAGGCCUAUGUGUAUUACAUCUGGAAAAGCAAGGAAUGAUUUUAUUCACUUGGAGGUUGUGCCCACAAUAGAAGGAAUUUCGAAUGUUAUUAGAGGGACAGUACAAGGCAGAUUGAUGGGGGCUCAGCAAGUGAUCCUGUAGGCACAGACAGAACACCAGAAGAGGCAACUGGAAGCUUGGGGAGUUUGAUUUUUCUCUUAUUUUGUAACAAUGGUUGUACUAGUAGUGGGUUUAAAUUGGGUUUGAGGUCUUCAUGUUUGAUGAGCCUUUGAGGUCAUGAGGUUUUUUAUUUGUUAAGACUCUUGUAGAGCAGAUGCUUUCAUUUCAGUUCUUUAAGAUUAAUAAAGGGCAAAGCUCAUUAUGAGCUAAAAAAAA